rnacentral:rRNA from 1 species
UGGGGAAUAUUGCACAAUGGGCGCAAGCCUGAUGCAGCCAUGCCGCGUGUAUGAAGAAGGCCUUCGGGUUGUAAAGUACUUUCAGCGGGGAGGAAGGGAGUAAAGUUAAUACCUUUGCUCAUUGACGUUACCCGCAGUAGAAGCACCGGCUAACUCCGUGCCAGCAGCCGCGGUAAUACGGAGGGUGCAAGCGUUAAUCGGAAUUACUGGGCGUAAAGCGCACGCAGGCGGUUUGUUAAGUCAGAUGUGAAAUCCCCGGGCUCAACCUGGGAACUGCAUCUGAUACUGGCAAGCUUGAGUCUCGUAGAGGGGGGUAGAAUUCCAGGUGUAGCGGUGAAAUGCGUAGAGAUCUGGAGGAAUACCGGUGGCGAAGGCGGCCCCCUGGACGAAGACUGACGCUCAGGUGCGAAAGCGUGGAGAGCAAACAGG